CGGGGAUCUGCAUUCUGCUGGACGUCUUGGCCAGAGAGGGGCUCUCUCUCUGCUUGGGGUUGGAGCAGCGGAGCAGACGCUGGGCGUGGAGGAUUUCCUGGGGGAAAAUGCCCUGGGCUGAGCAGCAGAAAACAGAUGAAGACGCCUACCCCAGGGCCCC
rnacentral:lncRNA from 9 species